rnacentral:misc_RNA from 1 species
UGUGGGAGCGGGCUUGCCCGCGAUGACGGCGGCACAUUCAACAUCUCAGUGAUUGUCAGACCGCUAUCGCGGGCAAGCCCGCUCCCACA